AUAAAUAAUAUCAUGAAUUUUAAAGGGUUACAAUGCAAAUAUAGAAUUCUAGAGAGACCAGUUGACCUCCUUUAAUCUUAUUUGGGUCUGCCUAUGCGGGGGACCCAUAAAUACUUUUGACAGUAUCAAAAUCUAACUUCAAAAUAAU
rnacentral:sRNA from 1 species